rnacentral:lncRNA from 1 species
GGUGAACAGAAUUACCCUCAGGGUUGAGGGAAUUAUAAACAACGCAGCUCCUGGUAAUUUUCUCCCCUCUGGAUAGAGCCAAGUGGAAAUUGCUGCUAGUGGAUAUGCUACAGCUGCUUGUGACAUUCUGAGAAGGUGGAUAUUUGCAAAUAAUACAGUUCACUUGACCCUCGCUGCCUGGCAAUGAAAGAAAAACAAUCUGAAGUACUUUCUUGGGGUUUUGGGCUGCCAUACGCUUCAGCAAGGAGCUGCACCCAAAGGAGGAGCAAUGCACCAGACCAAGCAUGCCUGGCUGUCCACAGUGGGUUGGCAGUAAACAGCAUAUUAUACUUACCACAGCUUACCUAUUAUGCAGAUUUCAAGGCAGGAAACUGCCUGCAAAACAGGAAUAGCAGCAUGUUUAGGCAGAAGUCACAAAUAAGGAGUGUGUGCAUGAGUUUGUUCAUUUCUAAAGAAGAUAAACCGUCUGGAGCUCCACUAUUGUCCCAAACACAGAUUUGA